rnacentral:lncRNA from 1 species
AUGAGACAAGAAAAGUCCAGGCCUCAGGAGCUCCAGUCUUGCUGGGGAGGAAAAUCAGGCCACGGUGGAGCGUGGGCGGUCCCUGAUAUGUUCUGUCUACUUGGAUCACUGCCUUGGGCCAAAUGGAAAGGGACAAUGAGCAACUCUCAGGGGGAGGCAAAGAAGAAGCAGUUGCUGCCGGUGAACGUCAGACUGGAACUGAGGCAGGCGUCCUGUGAGGUGAGGACAGACCUUGCCUUUCUGUGGAGCUCUUCUUUCACCGGGUUCUCCGGGUAUCGGGUAUAUAAGCAGACCUUGGGGCUCCCUCUGAGCUAUCACACGCUGGGACUCUGUUUGAUUCAGUGAUUGAUUAAUUGAUUGAUUGAUGUAGCUAUACUCAUCUUUGGAGUACUUGGAAUAAUAGUAAUAGUGAUGAUGAUAAUAAUAAUAAUAAUAAUAAUAAUAAUAAUAUUAACAUGUC